rnacentral:tRNA from 1 species
CGCGGGGUGGAGCAGCUCGGUAGCUCGCUGGGCUCCGCUGGGCUCAUAACCCAGAGGUCGCAGGUUCAAAUCCUGUCCCCGCUA